UAUUUGUCUCCAGGGCUUUGAGGUCUAAAUCUUUCUACCAGCUUGAAAGUUUCACGGAGUUGUUAAAAAACAAUCAGCAAAAGAAAAAGAAAAAAAAAAUCAAACAUACAAAGCCACAAAUCCUUUCCGUUUAAUUUUGCUGGACAGUGAAUCGUGUUAAUUUGAAAAUAGAAUUUAUAGCUCAGUGUUUUAGAAAUGCUUUCUUUCUCUUUUGUGUAUUUUAAAUUUGCCAUGGUUGCCCUGCCAUGAACUUCUUAACCAGAAAACAAAAGAAGAAGUACUUUGCACCUGGAUAUAAAAUUCUGUGUCUCUUGAUAAUGUCGCAAUAUGCCAGUCUCCUACAAAAGGCCAGCUUGAUGAUGCUGAGUUACAUUUCCUAACCGCAAAACCACGGACUUGUCAACAUAUCCUGUUCCAAAUGACUGGAUUAAAAGAAUGCUGAAGAGAUUUGUCAUUUUGAUGUUCUCAACUAUGACAGUGGGAUAUUUUCUGUGUCUGAAGUARAGGCCAAGGCAUUGUGUAUGACUCUGCCUUCCAUAGUCUUCCUGAUUUGAGAAGCUCAACACCUAUAAUCCCUUGCUCCUAAACAUUUGUCUAUGUCAAAAGUGCUUCCUGCACCUAAAGGGGAUUGCACUGGAACAAGACCCAACAGCCAUAUCUCAUCUUCCCUUUGUAAUUCAGAGACUUUGCUUAUUAUUCUCAUACCCAUUCCUGUUUCUUCCCCUGAAUAUACUGCAGCCCUAUGUUUCCCCUUUUGGCAGAACAACGAUGACCCAGGAAGAAUAGCAUUAUGUUCCAAAAUGUCUUCUUCCCACAUUCAUGUAUUCCCAUUCCAAGUUCUUCCUAAC
rnacentral:lncRNA from 1 species